GAUGAACGCUGGCGGCGUGCCUAAUACAUGCAAGUAGAACGCUGAAGGAAGGAGCUUGCUCUUUCCGGAUGAGUUGCGAACGGGUGAGUAACGCGUAGGUAACCUGCCUGGUAGCGGGGGAUAACUAUUGGAAACGAUAGCUAAUACCGCAUAACAGUAGAUGUUGCAUGAUAUCUACUUAAAAGGUGCAAUUGCACCACUACCAGAUGGACCUGCGUUGUAUUAGCUAGUUGGUGAGGUAACGGCUCACCAAGGCGACGAUACAUAGCCGACCUGAGAGGGUGAUCGGCCACACUGGGACUGAGACACGGCCCAGACUCCUACGGGAGGCAGCAGUAGGGAAUCUUCGGCAGUGGACGGAAGUCUGACCGAGCAACGCCGCGUGAGUGAAGAAGGUUUUCGGAUCGUAAAGCUCUGUUGUAAGAGAAGAACGAGUGUGAGAGUGGAAAGUUCACACUGUGACGGUAUCUUACCAGAAAGGGACGGCUAACUACGUG
rnacentral:rRNA from 1 species